AUGUAAACAAAAACUACCCAUGUCCUUUAACCCAGCAAUUCACUUCCAAGCAUUCGUGCCACGGGCAUAUGAGUGUGCAAAGGUCACGGCUGCCUGUACACACAACCCAAAGGAACCCAGCAGGCCUGGGCUCUGUGCAUCAUGGGAAGACAGAACUAUUUCCUUCAGUUGUGCCAAGUGGGCCAGUUCAGGUAAAGAAAAUGCUGUGAGGAGCAGCCAGCGCACAGUGGAACCGAGCUCUCUGUCAUCGGUUUGCGGUUGCUGAAGGGCUCAGGAACAACUCCACGUACUGAUGGGCAAUUAUCUCCCCGAGAUGCUGGGCAGGACAAAAUCAGCAGUGAGAGUCUGCGUCUGGCUUGCUUCAUUUCUUGAGAUUUGCUUUCUGAGAAAUCAAAAGGAAGGCAAAGAUUUAUGACAGCUGAAAACAAGAUCGCAUCCCAGCUUCUGCAACUGCAGAUCCUGUCCCUGGAACCCGGCCAUGGGUACUUGUUUACAUCCUGUCUCUGGCUGCUUUCUGCCAUGGAGGCAGAACUGAGGGACUCUGUGGCUAUGUGACUCUGUCUCAGAGUAUUUGGCUCCUUGAAGACAAAGUCUGCUGACCCCUACGUCUGGAUAUCUCCAUGGAAACGUAGAGGAUCCCCUCCCUUUUGUAUUCCAAGUACCGAGAACACUGCCAGCACACAGUAGGUGCUUAGCAAACCUACCUGAGUGAAUGGAGGUGCGUGUGGAGCCUGUUGCUUCAGCCUGCUAAGGAUUGUGAUCAAGACACACACAACCCCGCCACCAUUACCAUCACAUUCUCCAGUUCUGUCUGGCAUACAGCACUACACAGUCUCCUUAAGCACUGGGAAAGGCAUCCCCGGGGGUGCCAGUUGCUCCAAGUCCCUGGAGGAGGUCAUGGAGAGGGCGGCAAGUCCUGACCUUGGCACCAGUAGGGUGGGCCUCUGUGUCUCUGGGAUGGGGCAUGCCUGGCUUGUUCAAAGGGAUCACUUGUCACCUGCUGUUGGCCAGGGUUGAUGGGCUAUGCUGUGUGGGUUGCACUUUGCUGCUCUCUGGUGGUCAUUUGGAGAGGCUGUCACCAAGGAACAUGUGAUUGAGCUUCGUGGGACACCUGCCUUCAAACCCAUUAGACCAACUUACCAGAAAUGUAGGAACUUGUCAGCCUGGGCUCUGUCCCUCCCGGCUCCCCACUCACUGAUCCUGUCCCUGGAACUCCCUCCCCUUCGGGUAUCAGGAGUCACGGCAAGUCGUCAGGCUAGUCUGAGAUGCUAGCUACCUCUCUCUCCUAGGGCUCUGGAGGACAUCCAGCUUGACGCUACUAGUGUGCACUCCAUCCUGACAGUUGGAAGGUGGCCUUGAUCCCUACUGACCAGAGAGCACCUAGAGGGCUGCGCGGUGGAAGCCUUGUCUGUUCCUUGUGUUUUCUGCAUAUCUGGAAAGACCCCUCUGAUGGUGAGGACUGCUUGGUGCAGAAAACUGACUGCUCCAUGAGCUGUUGUGAGAAUGGGGAGUGGGUCUUCAACCAACCCCAACGUGCACUGAGGAGUGGUUUAUGGUUUGGAUUCAAAAUAUUCUCCCAAAGGCUUAGGCAUUUGAAGGCUUGAAUCUUUUUGUUUUGUUUUGUUUUGUUUUUGUUUUUUUGUUUUUUGUUUUUUGUUUUUUGAAACAGGGUUUCUCUGUAUUGCUUUGGAACCUGUUCUGGAACUCACUCUAUAGAGCAGGCUGGCCAGAGAUCCGCCUGCCUCUGCCUCUGCCUCCUGAGUGCUGGGAUUAAAGGCAUGGGCCACCAACGCCUGGCCGAAGGCUUGAUUCUUACACAGCAGUGUAUAGACGUAAGACCUUUGGGAAAUGACAGGCUUAUAAGAGCUCUGGCUUCACUGAUGGAUUAACCCAUUGAUGACUUCAUAACUUGAAGAGAGGUGAUAAGAGGGGGGACUGGCUGAAGGGAGUGGGUCCUGGUGCACGUCCUUGGGAGUUAUACCGGUCCCAAGCCCUUCCCCAGGUGCUUCCUGGCUGCCCUGAGUCAAGCAGCUGCUCCACCAUGCCCUCCCUAGCACUAACUACAAGGCCCAAGAAACGAAGGACCAGAUCCUCUCAAACUGUGAGCCAAAAGAAACAGUUCUUGAUUUUUCUGAGGCAUCUUGGCAGGACAAUACGUUGACUCAGGAUAAUCACAUGCUUCUCACCACAUCCUCGCACCACCAGCAGCUGCUCCUUGCCUGCCUCUGCCUCAGAAACCCCAGGCUCUGCCUAGGGGGCCCCGCCCCCGCCCCCCCCCGUGGGCAACGGUGUGUUUGUGAUAAGCAGGGAGGGUGCGUGGAAGAUGGGUGGGCAGAUGCGUGAGUGGAGGGAGCACUGAGAUCCUGUAAGAGGAUGAGCUGAGCUCUGCAGAACUCUGGGCCUGGCCCAGGUCCCCACUCCUCUACCGUCUGGCCACUUUGGGUUCUAAAUACCCUGGCCCCUCCACUCCCUGUGCCCGCGCCAUCCACUCUUCACCCACUCCCACCUUCCCUGCCAUCCCGGCUCCCUCACACCAAGCCCACCACGGCCAUGGAGACCUUACAGAAGCUGUCACCAAAUGUAGAUCACUGUUCCCCAGAGAUGGCACCUUUCCCAACCCUCCACCCAGGCUCCCCAGCUGCCACUCAUCUUCAUAGCACAUAUCACCAACAAAAAUGCUUGCCUCCUCACCAUCUGUCCCCCCAUGAGGAGGCAGCACAGGGCAGGGACUUUGCCUUUCUCCCCCGUGUCACUACCUAAGUAGAUUCUGACCUCACCUUUGGCGAAUAAAGAUAACUUUACACCCU
rnacentral:lncRNA from 1 species